rnacentral:rRNA from 1 species
AUUGAACGCUGGCGGCAUGCCUAACACAUGCAAGUCGAGCGGAGCGGCGGACGGGUGAGUAAUGCAUAGGAAUGUGCCCGGUAGUGGGGGAUAACGUUCGGAAAGGGACGCUAAUACCGCAUCCUAUCAGAUGAGCCUAGGUCGGAUUAGCUAGUUGGUGAGGUAAUGGCUCACCAAGGCUACGAUCCGUAGCUGGUCUGAGAGGAUGAUCAGGCACACGGGGACUGAGACACGGCCCAGACGCCUACGUGAGGCAGCAGUGGGGAAGAUGGGACAAUGGGAGAAAGCCUGAUCCAGCCAUGCCGCGUGUGUGAAGAAGGUCUUCGGAUUGUAAAGCACUUUAAGUUGGGAGGCGGUACCGACAGAAUAAGCACCGGCUAACUACGUGCCAGCAGCCGCGGUAAUUC